GGGGAUGUAGCUCAGCAGAAGUGCGCAUGCUUUGCAUGUAUGAGGACCCGGCUUCAAUCCUGGCAUCUCCA
rfam:Salmo salar isolate Sally breed double haploid chromosome ssa07, whole genome shotgun sequence.